UAGCAUUCUUAUUUUCAAAAGAUGUUUCAGCUUCUCAUCUUUGGAAAUUGCUAGGCUAUUCUACUAUUAGAAUUUUUGACACUUUAUGCCUCUUUCUCAGGAGGAAAGUGGUAACACUAUACCAAUAGCAUCAAAUAGAACAGAAAUAAAGUUCAGAACUAUUGCUUCCUCGGACGACUACUUCCAGAAUCCCCAGUGAAAAUGGCCCCUCCUUCUGGGGCCAUAGUUUAAAAAGGGAUCUUUACUAAUACACUUUAUUUAUUUUACUGAGGCCUUGAUAGAAACCAGAGGUUCUUCCAAAUCUCCUUCCAAAAAGGUACAGAGUAGAAGGUAUAAGAAAGAGGUAUAUUGUGAAGGCACUAGAUCCAGUCUGAUGUUGGAAGCUAAGCAGAGUCACCCCUGGUUAGAAUUUGGAUGAGAUACUGCCAAUGAAUACCAGGUGCCAUAGGCUAUAUUUCAGAAGAAUGAAGUAGAAAAAUCAUCAGACUCAUGGCAGGUUUUGUAAGACUAAGGCGGCAUCUACACCGAGCUGUCCUGGAUGCAGAAUCGGGAAUCUACGUCUACCAUUAUGGAAGAACUCCAAACACCUUUAGGAGUCCAGACACCAGUGCUCUGUCAUCCUUGGGGACACCGCUGCCACUGUUUUGCCAGGAAAAAAAUAGCUCCAAGCAGCUAUCCAGAAGAACCUUGCUGGUGUUGCUGCUUCUGGUGAAGAGCCAUGCAAUGUGAUCUCCAGAAGUAAUGUCAUCAGCAAGGCUCCUACAAGGAGCUAUUUUGACCAGCAAAAUAGUGUUGUUGUUGUUUUGUUUUUGUUUUUUGAAGUGUGGACACUAGACUGCUUCAGAUUUCAAUAAACAUUACGGUCAUUCUGAUACUUCCUGAAAGAUCCAAAGUAGAUUGUAGUUCCCCUUGCAACAGAUUGAUGCUGUGCUGCAAAAUCAGCUGUACUCUUUGAAGCAGUUGUAAGAGGAGUCUGUUUUAUUUGGCCCAUCUCAAUACAACCUAAAAGACUUGACCUGACUCAUGACAUGCAUGAACCUCAUGGUGGACCAAGGAAUCAAACCAGGCUCCUUUCCUUUGUUCCAGGAAGCACAGAUUAGCAACUAGGGAAACUCAACUAAACUACAGACUAGUUGCCAGAACAGCAGGGUCUCAACUAGUUAUGUUCUAUUAUGUAUCAGUUUUACUAGAACAUAGUUGUAUAGCAGCUGUAUACAGAUUUAUUUUCAGUCGGAAUUAACCCAGAAAGGAUGAGCUCCAAAUUUAUAGAGCAAACUCUAUGAAAGACUGGAAGGUAGGUCUUCCAGAUUUGUACCCAAAUCUGAAGCAGGGGCCUUUGAUAUUGGCCUAUGAUUAAGCAAAUGCAAUAAUGCUAUAAUAAACCUCAAGCAUCUCAGUGCCUGUUAUAUUAUCAAGCAUUUUAGAGGACCAUUAUCAGUGGAGACAGAAGUAGGUUUUCCACAAAGCAUAUAUUUAAAUUGUGAAAUGCAUUACCACACAAUGAUUAUUAACUUAGAUAGCUUUAGAGGUAGAUUUGGCAAUUUGAUGGAAACCAUGCCUUUCCAUAGCUACCAAUGACAAUGGUUAUAUUUUUUCCAUAAGCACAAAAGUGUUUCAAAAUGUUAGGAUGACUACCAGUCUUGCUAAACAAAGACACGUCAGGUCCUUGAAAAUUAUGAAAAGUAGAUUGUACAUAUUUUCUACUUAAAUAAAUGUGAUUGUCUGUUGAGA